GCAGCCUGCCGGUCUGUCGCUCAUCUUCGGAUGUGAGGAAAGUCCGGGCAACACAGAGCACCAUACUUCUUAACGGGAAGUUGUCCGCAAGGGCAAAGUAGUGUAACAGAAAAUAACCGCCGGACUCGUCCGGUAAGGGUGAAAAGGUGAGGUAAGAGCUCACCGGGUCCCGUAGUAAUACGGGAUGCCGUACGCCUUAUGGGUUGUAAGGUCAUGUAUACCGGCGUAUGUAGGAUUGCUCGUCCGAUGCCGGGGGGUAGACCGCUAAAGCUUGCCGGUGACGGUAAGACAAGAUAAAUGGCAGACACUCCAACUUCGGUUGAAGCACAGGACCCGGCUUACAGGCAGGCUGCAUUU
rfam:Parabacteroides goldsteinii dnLKV18 genomic scaffold acPFM-supercont1.2, whole genome shotgun sequence.